rnacentral:rRNA from 1 species
UAGUCAUUGAGAGUCCAGUCGAUAGCUAGUGAGCUACGCUCAUGCAGUCGACGCUGAGUAUUCGAUCAUGGAACUGACCGUCAGUCUACGAGGCAGCAGUAGGAUCUUGCCCAUUGAUCGUGUCUGAUGAGCACGCCCGCGGAGUGAGGAUCUUCCGGCUCGUAAGCUCUGUUAGUUAGGGAGAACGAUACUCUGAGGAGUAAUCCUUGCAGGUUAUUGACGUUAUCUAACCAGUAAGCCACCGGCUACCUACGUGCCAGCAGCGCGUAAUACGUAGGUGGCAAGCGUUGUUCCGGAUUUACUGGGCGUAAAGCGAGCGCAGGCGGUUUGUUAAGUCUGAUGUGAAAUCCCUCGGCUCAACCGAAGAAGUGCAUCGAAACUGUGAAACUUGAGUGCAGAAGAGGACAGUGGAACUCCCUGUGUAGCGGUGAAAUGCGUAGAUAUAUGGAAGAACACCAGUGGCGAAGGCGGCUGUCUGGUCUGUCACUGACGCUGAGGCUCGAAAGUAUGGGUAGCAAACAGGAUUAGAUACCCUGGUAGUCCAUACCGUAAACGAUGAAUGCUAAGUGUUGGAGUCUUUCCGCCCUUCAGUGCUGCAGUUAACGCAUUAAGCAUUCCCCCUGGGGAGUACGGCCGCAAGGCUGAAAUUCAAAGGAAUUGACGGGGGCCCGCCCAAGCGGUGGAGCAUGUGGUUUAAUUCGAAGCUACGGGAAGACCCUUCCCAGGUCUUGACAUACUAUGCAAAUCUAAGAGAUUAGACGUUCCCUUCGGGGUCAUGGACACAGGUGGUGCAUGGUUGUCGUCAGCUCGUGUCGUGAGAUGUUGGGUUAAGUCCCGCAACGAGCGCAACCCUUAUUAUCAGUUGCCAGCAUUAAGUUGGGCACUCUGGUGAGACUGCCGGUGACAAACCGGAGGAAGGUGGGGAUGACGUCAAAUCAUCAUGCCCCUUAUGACCGGGCUACACACGUGCUACAAUGGAUGGUACAACGAGUUGCGAACUCGCGAGAGUAAAGUAAUUUCUCGUAAACCAUUUUCAGUUCGGAUUGUCGGUUGCAUAGACUUGCCUACAUGAAGUUGGAAUCGCUAGUAAUCGCGGAGCUAGCGCAUGCCCCGGUGAAUACGUUUCCGGGCCUUGCUAG